rnacentral:misc_RNA from 1 species
AAUGGGUCCUUCCUUCCUCUCUAAAGGUCUCUCGUAUCUCAAUUCAUUUCUCUGUCUUCUCUUUGUUUCUUGAGAACCUGUUCUUGGUAAGUUCAUCUGAUAAAGGGAUAUUUAAAGAGUUUGGUCUUCUGGUUUUUGGUGAUUGAUUUUGAAUUGGAGAAGGGAAAGAGAACGUUAAUGGCUGGAAUUUGCUGUGGAGUUGUUGCUGAGAGUGAGACAGCUGCUCCAGUAGUUGAACCAAGCUCACGAGCUUCAAGGCGGAGAAGAUUGGAACUCCGCCCAUUCAAGGUCAUUGCCGAUACUGCUGUGCAACCGACGUUGGAAAACGACCGGAAACGGCAGAAACUGGAUCUUUGCCCUCUUCCACUCGCCUCUCCUGCACCUAACUCCCCACGUGACUGCGAGAACGCAGUAGAGAGUUGCAAACCUAGCGAUGAUAAGUGUAAAGAAAAUGAACAAAAUGAAAAUUCUGAGAAGAACGAGUACUUGGGUACAAAUCUAUCAGUGAACGCUAACUCCGUUUCUGAGUCUGCGAAAUCGGGUCAUGAUGUGGCUGAAGAGUCACCGAAAUUUGGCUCUACUUCCGUUUGUGGUAGAAGAAGAGACAUGGAAGAUGCAGUUUCGAUACGAACGUCUUUUACUGGCCAGAACACUUCUUUCUUCGGUGUAUUUGAUGGUCAUGGUUGCUCUCAUGUGGCGAUGAAGUGCAAAGACCGGUUGCACGAGAUAGUGAAAGAAGAAAUUGAAAGAUUCGAAGAAUUGAAUUGCGUUGAGUGGAAAGAAACGAUGGAGAGAAGUUAUGCGAAGAUGGACAAGGAGGUGGAGUGGUGCAACAACGUAGAUAAGAGCAUCAACUGCCGUUGUGAGCUGCAGAUUCCACAGUGCGAUGCCGUGGGAUCAACAGCUGUAGUUGCAGUUGUGACUCCGGACAAGAUCGUCGUCUCCAACUGCGGCGACUCUCGUGCCGUGCUCUGCCGCAACGGUGUCGCCAUCCCACUUUCCUCGGAUCAUAAGGUGAGUUUAACAAAUUUCCGACCUACCAUGGAGGUUUUUUUCUUCUUAAUUUCCGGCCACGCGCCGCUGUUAAAGCAGAUUUAGGUAUAUGUUUGUGUAGCGCGUGACUUUCACGGGCGCAUCACUUUUGGCAAAAGUGGUGGUUCCACUGAAAGAUUAGACGUAAAACAUGUGGGUCAGGUCCAACUGUUGGAGCGUGUCAGGCACAUUCCUAGGUUAAUUUUUGACGCAUUAGUUUCUUUGCAAAUCUACAGCCUGAUCGGCCGGAUGAAUUGGUCCGAAUCCAAGCCGCCGGCGGCCGAGUAAUCUACUGGGACGGUGCACGAGUCCUUGGAGUUUUGGCCAUGUCUAGAGCAAUUGGUAAGGACGAACAAUACUUAUUGAGCACUAUAUUUAAACUCCAUAAAAUAGCGCGAAGAAUACUGAUCUUAGCUUGGUUUAAUUAUAUAGGUGAUAACUAUUUGAAACAAUAUGUGAUAUCGGAACCAGAGGUGACGGUGACGGAACGGACGGCAGGGGAUGAGUGUUUGAUACUGGCAAGCGAUGGCCUUUGGGACGUGGUAUCAAACGACACUGCAUGUGGAGUCGCACGAAUGUGUUUACGUUCACAGAGGCCACCAUCACCACCAGGGUCACCAGGCAGCGACGCUGUCAUGGGCAGUGAAAGCUCCGACAAGGCAUGCUCGGAUGCUUCAAUACUGCUAACGAAGCUGGCCUUGGCCAGGCAUAGUACGGACAAUGUGAGCGUUGUGGUGGUCGAUUUAAGAAGGAAUCAAGAAGAAUAAGAAUCGUUAGUGCAUGAUAAUAGUAACUAGAAGAUAAAAGAAAGAAAUUAUACUAAUGAGAGUCGUAAUUAAGGCUGAAAAAAGUCUCGAUUUCGAUUUUCAGUAAGAGCAUGAGUGGAGUAGUUUUAUUUAGCUUGAAAUUGUAUUGUAUUCUUGUAGGAUGUGUCCUCGUGAAUGAGGGGGAGAAACGAUUAAAAGAAAAUCGAGAAUUUCUACUUGGAAUUUGAUUUUCUGAGGGUGGUGCAGAAAUUUGCGGGAUAUUAUGGUUGUAGAAUUUUGGUGGGGAAUAUGGUUCUAAAAAUAUAUAUUAAUUCAGAGGGACUUUUUAUUCCUCGUUUAAUCCAAAAAUCGAGUGUAUGUUCAAUUUUUUAAUUUUUGUUAUUUGUUGAUGCAAUUUGAAUUGUUGAAUUUUGCUAUCAAUUUCCUUUUAACUUCAUUAUGUAAUUGUGUAAUUUUAUUGUGAUU